rnacentral:rRNA from 1 species
UACGUAGGGGGCAAGCGUUGUCCGGAUUUAUUGGGCGUAAAGAGUUCGUAGGCGGUUUGUUAAGUCUGAUGUAAAAGCCUGGGGCUCAACCUCGGGACUGCAUUGGAUACUGGCAGACUUGAGUGCGGUAGAGGCAAGUGGAAUUCCAGGUGUAGCGGUGAAAUGCGUAGAUAUCUGGAAGAACACCGGUGGCGAAAGCGACUUGCUGGGCCGGAACUGACACUGAGGAACGAAAGCUAGGGGAGCGAAUGGG